UUGUGGUGAAGUAUAUAUAGUUGUACGCGGGUUUUUGGCUCCCGAGGAACGUGGAGCGUCGCCAUAAU
rnacentral:tRNA from 1 species